AUUGAACGCUGGCGGCAGGCCUAACACAUGCAAGUCGAGCGGAACGGCGGACGAGUGCGUAAUGCCUAGGAAUCUGCCUGGUCGUGGGGGAUAGCGUACGGAAACGGGCGCUAAUACCGCAUCCUAUCAGAUUAGCCUAGGUGGGGUUAGCUGGUUGGUGGGGUAAAGGCCUACCAAGGCGACGAUCCGUAACUGGUCUGAGAGGAUGAUCAGUCACACUGGAACGGAGAAACGGUCCAGACUCCUACGGGAGGCAGCAGUGGGGAAUAUUGGACAAUGGGCGAAAGCCUGAUCCAGCCAUGCCGCGUGGGUGAAGAAGGUUUUCGGAUUGUAAAGCACUUUAAGUUGGGAGGCGUUACCAACAGAAUAAGCACCGGCUAACUUCGUGCCAGCAGCCGCGGUAAUUC
rnacentral:rRNA from 1 species